rnacentral:rRNA from 1 species
UAGGGAAUCUUACGCAAUGGGCGAAAGCCUGACGGAGCAACGCCGCGUGAGUGAUGAAGGUCUUCGGAUCGUAAAACUCUGUUAUUAGGGAAGAACAAAUGUGUAAGUAACUAUGCACGUCUUGACGGUACCUCAUCAGAAAGCCACGGCUAACUACGUGCCAGCAGCCGCGGUAAUACGUAGGUGGCAAGCGUUAUCCGGAAUUAUUGGGCGUAAAGCGCGCGUAGGCGGUUUUUUAAGUCUGAUGUGAAAGCCCACGGCUCAACCGUGGAGGGUCAUUGGAAACUGGAAAACUUGAGUGCAGAAGAGGAAAGUGGAAUUCCAUGUGUAGCGGUGAAAUGCGAAGAGAUAUGGAGGAAAACCAGUGGCGAAGGCGACUUUCUGGUCUGUAACUGACGCUGAUGUGCGAAAGCGUGGGGAUCAAACAGG